rnacentral:lncRNA from 10 species
CUUAAAUGCUUGAUUUAGAGUGCUGUUUUAGAAAGACCUUGGGCAAAUUACUUAAUCUGUCUGUGGUGGUUUCCUCACUUGUAAAGCAGGUACAACUGUAAUACUAACAGCACUUACUUUAUAGGGUAUUGUGAGAAUAAAGUCAGUUCCUAUGCGCAAAGUACUCAGAGAACCACCUGACCUAAGUGCUUGAGAUAGGGUUUCACUCUGUCACCCAAGCUGGAGUGUGGUGACACCGUCAAGGCUCACUGCAGCCUUGACCACCCAGACCCAAGCAAUCCUCAGACACUUGAGUAGCUGAGCUCACUGUAACCCCCGCCUUCCGGGUUCUAUUGAUUCUUCUGCCUCUGCCUCCCAAGUAGCUGGGAUUACAGGCACAUGCCACCACGCCUAAUUUUUGUAUUUUUAGUAGAGACGGGGUUUCACCAUGUUGGCCAGGCAGCUUCAAUUCUCUGUUGUGUAGGCUCAGGGAAUCUUUCUGGUUCCCAUUUAGCAUGUCUAAUUAUUAUUGCUUGAAGGACAAGUUUACAUGCCUUCUGUUUUACAGGAGUAGGUAGAGGGAACAUUCUCCAGGCAGAUACAGUAUCCAUCCCCAUAAUACAAUCAAGUAGAAAAGAUGGAACCACUUCACAUUGAAGCAGCUUCAGAUAUAACAACUCGCCUAUAAAAUUUUAUCCUAAUUCCAUCAACACUUACUUUCCUAAGUAUAGCCUCCAUUAGGACUUUAUCAACAGGUUUUGAAAUCACAGUGCAUUGUGCUUCUGUGUCACGAAGCCCCAGAAAGGUUUCUACUCCACACCCUGACCCCUUCACCACUGGUGUACAUAAGGCUUUGGGUCCCCAGCAAGGGAUUGAGCCAAAGUACUCUUGGCUGUUUGUCAGUCUUUAUCUUGAUUAACCUGCCUCAACAUUGCCCCACACAAUUGUUGAUCAUCUUUCUCUUUGUGGUCUCUGCCUUUCAGCUUGUAAAGUUUCUCCAAACUGGGGUAAAUGCAAGAAACUUGUUUGAAGCCCUUUAAUGUUGGUUAAUCAGCAGAGUUCCCUUUGGUCCACCCACCUUUGGUAGUGCUGUAUUAAAAUGUUUAAUCAGUAUGUUUAAUUGAAAGACUGUAAUUCCCCACUGAUCUGCAGUAUCAAUUCUGUGUUAUCUCAAAAUUUCUUUUUCCCUUUAGUUUC